AUUCUCUUAGUAUAACAGCAGUACAGCUGACUUCCAAUCAGCUAGCCCUGGUAAAUAACCCAGGAGAGAAUA
rnacentral:tRNA from 1 species